rnacentral:rRNA from 1 species
CCUACGGGUGGCAGCAGUGAGGAAUAUUGGUCAAUGGACGAGAGUCUGAACCAGCCAAGUAGCGUGAAGGAUGACUGCCCUAUGGGUUGUAAACUUCUUUUAUAAAGGAAUAAAACGAGGCACGUGUGCCUUUUUGCAUGUACUUUAUGAAUAAGGAUCGGCUAACUCCGUGCCAGCAGCCGCGGUAAUACGGAGGAUCCGAGCGUUAUCCGGAGUUAUUGGGUUUAAAGGGAGCGUAGAGGGGUUGUUAGGUCAGUUGUGAAAGUUUGCGGCUCAACCGUAAAAUGGCAAUGGAUACGGGCAGUCUUGAGUACCGUUGCGGUAGGCGGACUUCGUGUUGUAGCGG